CAGGCUUCAAUUUCUUGAGGGUGUUGGACUAACUGACAACUAAAGUCCCUUCCAGCUUUUAUAUCGAGGGAGAAUCAGGAAGGUCAGCUGCUUACUAGCUAUGUUCUGUCUCUGGCACUGUGGGUUCACGCCCCGGAGCUCACAGCCUUGGUGAGGAAUCCGGCGGCCACCUGUGUGGUGGUUCCAACAGGAGGUGGGGCAGGAACAUGGCUUCCCCAAACCACAGCAGCCGCUUUGAAGGACAUUGAAGUCGCCUUGCUGGGUCAUCUCUCCCAUUUCUCUCUAUCCCAGGGGCUCUUAACCUGGGGUUAAGACCCUCAAGGGGUCAACAGAAGGAUGGAUUUUAGGUCUGUGAAUUUGGAUGGGAAAAAAAUU